GUUGGGGUGGUCUAACAGACGCUCGAUUUCGACUCGGGAGGACUUAACACUUUUAAGCCCCAAUA
rnacentral:tRNA from 2 species